ACAGUUUGGGUGCCCAAAUGAAGUCUUGAAAAAAAGAAACAAAAAAAAAUUUGUUGGGUUGUGGAAGGAAAAGAGGGAGAGAAAUGUAGAGAGGGGGAAGUGGCACGUGCCUCCAAAGUCCAACCACGUAACGGAAGAGAGGGGAGAGCGCAGAGAGAUGGUGUGAGGGUGACGCUGCUGUCCGUUAAGGCUUUGCAACUCGCCCAACUGCUCCCACACUUGCCCCCACCCCCUUUGCCAACCCCCAUUCUCUCUGUUCUCUAUUCUCUAUUCUGGGGUGAGGGGAGCCUGGGAGGGGAGGGCUACAAUACUCUGUACUUGUGGUCCAUCAUGCCUCAUGCUACUUCCCUUUACCGUACCCGCUACCACACUACUACUUCCUCUCCAUCAUCACUAUUACCCGUUUAUUUCCCCC
rnacentral:lncRNA from 1 species